UACAGAGGUCCCAAGCGUUGUUCGGAUUCACUGGGCGUAAAGGGUGCGUAGGUGGUCAGGUAAGUCGGAUGUGAAAUCUCCGAGCUCAACUCGGAAACUGCAUUGGAAACUACCUGGCUCGAGGGUUGGAGGGGGGACUGGAAUGCUUGGUGUAGCAGUGAAAUGCGUAGAUAUCAAGCGGAACACCAGUGGCGAAGGCGACUACCUGGCCUGUUCUUGACGCUGAGGCGCGAAAGCUAGGGGAGCAAACGGG
rnacentral:rRNA from 1 species